ACCAGGGCAAUCAAAUGGGGAGAGUUAAAGAGAAAAUCAAAGGCUGAGAAGAAGUUGGCAAUCACUGUUUUCAGCUUUCCCCCAGACAAAGGCAAUGUCGGAACUGCUGCAUACUUGAAUGUCUUUGCUUCCAUAUACUCUGUUCUCAAAGAUCUCAAGAAAGAUGGCUACAACGUUGAGGGGCUACCUGAAACUUCUGCUGAACUGAUUGAAGAAGUAAUUCAUGACAAAGAAGCUCAGUUCAG
rnacentral:misc_RNA from 1 species